GAUGAACGCUGGCGGCGUGCUUAACACAUGCAAGUCGAACGAAGCAUUUAGGACAGCUUACCUCGGUUUGAAGUUCUUUAUGACUGAGUGGCGGACGGGUGAGUAACGCGUGGGUAACCUGCCUUGUACUGGGGGAUAGCAGCUGGAAACGGCUGGUAAUACCGCAUAAGCGCACAAUGUUGCAUGACAUGGUGUGAAAAACUCCGGUGGUAUAAGAUGGACCCGCGUCUGAUUAGCUAGUUGGUGAGAUAACAGCCCACCAAGGCGACGAUCAGUAGCCGACCUGAGAGGGUGACCGGCCACAUUGGGACUGAGACACGGCCCAGACUCCUACGGGAGUCAGCAGUGGGGAAUAUUGCACAAUGGAGGAAACUCUGAUGCAGCGACGCCGCGUGAGUGAAGAAGUAAUUCGUUAUGUAAAGCUCUAUCAGCAGGGAAGAUAGUGACGGUACCUGACUAAGAAGCUCCGGCUAAAUACGUG
rnacentral:rRNA from 1 species